rnacentral:misc_RNA from 1 species
UCUCCGUUGGUGAACCAGCGGAGGGAUCAUUACCGAGUUUACAACUCCCAAACCCAAUGUGAACCAUACCAAACUGUUGCCUCGGCGGGGUCACGCCCCGGGUGCGUCGCAGCCCCGGAACCAGGCGCCCGCCGGAAGGACCAACCAAACUCUUUCUGUAGUCCCCUCGCGGACGUUAUUUUUACAGCUCUGAGCAAAAAUUCAAAAUGAAUCAAAACUUUCAACAACGGAUCUCUUGGUUCUG